rnacentral:rRNA from 1 species
AUNGGAAUUACUGGGCGUAAAGCGGGCGCAGACGGUUACUUAAGCAGGAUGUGAANUCCCCGGGCUCAACCUGGAACUGCGUUNUGAACUGGGUGACUAGAGUGUGUCAGAGGGAGGUAGAAUUCCACGUGUAGCAGUGAAAUGCGUAGAGAUGUGGAGGAAUACCGAUGGCGAAGGCAGCCUCCUGGGAUAACACUGACGUUCAUGCCCGAAAGCGUGGGUAGCAAACAGGAUUAGAUACCCUGGUAGUCCACGCCCUAAACGAUGUCGAUUAGCUGUUGGGCAGCAUGACUGCUUAGUAGCGAAGCUAACGCGUGAAAUCGACCGCCUGGGGAGUACGGUCGCAAGAUUAAAACUCAAAGGAAUUGACGGGGACCCGCACAAGCGGUGGAUGAUGUGGAUUAAUUCGAUGCAACGCGAAGAACCUUACCUGGUCUUGACAUGUACGGAACCCUCCAGAGACGGAGGGGUGCCUUCGGGAGCCGUAACACAGGUGCUGCAUGGCUGUCGUCAGCUCGUGUCGUGAGAUGUUGGGUUAAGUCCCGCAACGAGCGCAACCCUUGUCAUUAGUUGCCAUCAUUAAGUUGGGCACUCUAAUGAGACUGCCGGUGACAAGCCGGAGGAAGGUGGGGAUGACGUCAAGUCCUCAUGGCCCUUAUGACCAGGGCUUCACACGUCAUACAAUGGUCGGUACAGAGGGUAGCCAAGCCGCGAGGUGGAGCCAAUCUCACAAAACCGAUCGUAGUCCGGAUUGCACUCUGCAACUCGAGUGUAUGAAGUCGGAAUCGCUAGUAAUCGCAGGUCAGCAUACUGCGGUGAAUACGUUCCCGG